GGAGUUAGCCGGUGCUUCUUCUGCGAGUAACGUCACAGAUGUAAGGUAUUAACUUACACCCUUUCCUCCUCGCUGAAAGUGCUUUACAACCCGAAGGCCUUCUUCACACACGCGUCAUGGCUGCAUCAGGGUUUCCCCCAUUGUGCAAUAUUCCCCACUGCUGCCUCCCGUAGGAGUCUGGGCCGUGUCUCAGUCCCAGUGUGGCUGAUCAUCCUCUCAGACCAGCUAGGGAUCGUCGCCUAGGUGAGCCUUUACCUCACCUACUAGCUAAUCCCACCUGGGCUUAUCCAUCAGCGCAAGGCCCGAAGGUCCCCUGCUUUCCCCCGUAGGGCGUAUGCGGUAUUAGCAGUCGUUUCCAACUGUUAUCCCCCACAAAUGGGCAAAUUCCCAGGCAUUACUCACCCGUCCGCCGCUCGUCAUCUUCAAAGCAAGCUUUUGAAUGUUACCGCUCGACUUGCAUGUGUUAGGCCUGCCGCCAGCGUUCAAUCUGAGCCAGGAUCAAACUCUGA
rnacentral:rRNA from 1 species